GUGACUGCUUGUGAAACCAAGAAGACGCAUACGUCACUGUUUUGCCGCUAUCAGUAACGAAACACGAUUUCAAUUUUAAAUGUAUUUCCAAACACGAUUUUACUUUGAAUUAAUUUUGGGGGAACUGAAUUAAGUUUUAUGCUUUUAAAAUCGUAUUAUGGUGAAAGCUAGUUCUUUGUGUGAAAUAAAUGUAUUUUUUUCAGAUUGGAUAAAAUAAUUAAACUAUAUUUAAGUGUUUGAGCAGCGUACAGUAGAUUACUUUAGCCAAUCUGAAAUGGCAUUUCUGCAGGUACUGAUUCUGUGUUCUGGUUGGAAGAAUGGGAUAAGGACCCAUAGGGAUCACCAGCUCCAUAUAUGGUCUCACUUCCACGAUUCAAGCACCUGCGCCACUUUAUGUUUUAGAGCCAUCUGUGGUAGCCUUGGUGGGGUUGCAACUAAGGCCCAUUCCAUCAUACCGGUUUCCCACUAUGUUCAGAGCAGCAUUGGUCAGUUCUGUGACUGUUGUGUUGAACUUGCCACUCACAAGAAUCACAAUGUCAUGUGUGUACCCCUGUUCAAAGACACAAGCAGGUCGUCUGCAACUAGGUUCCACAGAAGAUGAGAAAGGUCGCCACCCUGGGGACAACCCCUUGUAGUACUUGCACUGAUGCUCAUUCCAAAAGUUUGGUAUCCACCUUAACACUGUGAGUAGGGCCCUUAUUAAGUCACAUAUUUUACUAUCAAUACUAUGUCUCGAGGAGACCGUAUUGAAAAUCGCCGGAGUUUCUGUUUUGUUAAAAGCUCCUUCGAUGUCCAGAAAGACACCUAUAGCUUAUUCUUUUGCUACUAGCGCCUUCUCAAUCCUGCAUACCAAUUAAUGCAGGACUGAGUCGCAUUAUCUUUCUGGAGUGAAAGCAUGUUCAUUUGGAUGGAACUAUAACUACUAUAAUUUUUAAAAAACCUACAACAUAAUUCUGACCAACAAUUUGGUUUUGUAUUAUUCAUUAGUUUAGAUAUUGAGAAAUAUUGAUGAUUUGAUUGUCUUGGUGGUCACUUAUUAUACUGCAGCCGUUCGUUAUUUAUCUUGGAACAAAUUUUUAAGCUUACAAGAAAUAUUAUUUUUAUAUUGAUAUUUAAGUUACAUUCACUAGAAAAUGCACAACAAUAGGCUUAUAUGAUUUUGUUCGAACGUAUCAGUUUAUAUUUUUACAAAAAGGCUUGCUUGCAGAGUGCUGAUUAGAGAGGGUCAUUUUCAAUAAUCUUAUUAUCAUCCUAUACUGAUAGUUCAAGUAGUAUUAAAAUCAAGAUAAGUUAUCUAUUUACAUUUAUAUAUAAUACAAAUUGACAACUAUAAGAGGUAUGAGAUAUUAUGUGCAAAACUUAUAAAAAUUCUUUUUCAUUAUUCUAGCCAACGAAGACAUAUAUUUCAAAUUCUGAUUCUUCGAGAGAAUUAAAAUCACUGUCUACUCAGCUAGACAAUUGGAUACAAGAAGAAAGGUCAAAAACAAAAACUUUGGAGUAUAUGAGAAUUGCCAAACAGCGAAAUAAAAUUGAAGAAUUGGAAAUAAAGAGUAAAAUAAUGGAGGUAAAGAAUAAAUUACCAAGAACCCGAUCCCAACCAAAAGCAGUUAAUAAUAAAGCUUCUGAAGUGGUACAAGACAGUAGUGUAACACUUUGUGAUGACCCCGAAAUUGUAAACAAAACCAGGUUGGACUUGAAUGUUGAACAUGAUUAUCGUUACUAGUACCAAGUGGAAGAAGAAGAGAGUGAAGAAUCAGAUUAAAAAAUUCACAUUCAUUGAACUAUUAACUCCAGAUGCUUCAUGCUAAUAGAUCUAGCUUGAACUUUCACUUGAAAGACUUGAGAAGAUUUCAGAAGAUUCAAAUAUGAGUCGAUUAUCUGUGAUUUCCAUUAUAAUUGUAUACUACGAUGAAGUUAACAAAGAAUGCAUUUUUAAAAUUGUAAAUACUUUUUUUAAAGUUUUUAAUAAAUGUGUUUAAAAAAUAA